rnacentral:rRNA from 1 species
GAUGAACGCUGGCGGCGUGCCUAAUACAUGCAAGUCGAGCGAACGGACGAGAAGCUUGCUUCUCUGAUGUUAGCGGCGGACGGGUGAGUAACACGUGGAUAACCUACCUAUCAGACUGGGAUAACUUCGGGAAACCGGAGCUAAUACCGGAUAAUAUUUUGAACCGCAUGGUUCAAAAGUGAAAGACGGUCUUGCUGUCACUGAUAGCUGGAUCCGCGCUGCAUUAGCUAGUUGUUAAGGUAACGGCUUACCAAGGCAACGAUGCAUAGCCGACCUGAGAGGGUGGUCGGCCACACGGGAACUGAGACACGGUCCAGAGGCCUAAGGGAGGCAGCAGUAGGGAAUCUUCCGCAAUGGGCGAAAGCCUGACGGAGCAACGCCGCGUGAGUGAUGAAGGUCUUCGGAGCGGAAAACUCUGUUAUGAGGGAAGAACAUAUGUGUAAGUAACUGUGCACAGCUUGACGGUACCUAAUCAGAAAGCCACGGCUAACUACGUG